rnacentral:tRNA from 1 species
CGCGAGGUGGAGAAGCCGGUAUCUCGACGGGCUCAUAACCCGUAGGUCGUAGGUUCGAGUCCUACCCUCGCUA